rnacentral:rRNA from 1 species
UACGGGGGAGCAAGCGUUGUUCGGAUUUACUGGCGUAAAGGGCGCGUAGGCGGCGUGACAAGUCACUUGUGAAAUCUCCGGGCUUAACUCGGAACGGUCAAGUGAUACUGUCGUGCUAGAGUACAGAAGGGCAACUGGAAUUCUCGGUGUAGCGGUGAAAUGCGUAGAUAUCGAGAGGAACACCUGCGGCGAAGGCGGGUUGCUGGCUGAUACUGACGCUGAGGCGCGAAGCUAGGGGAGCGAACGG